GCCCCCGUAGCUCAGCCUGGGAGAGCAUCCGGCUGAAGACCGGAGGGUCCCGGGUUCAAAUCCCGGCGGGGGCACCA
rnacentral:tRNA from 1 species